rnacentral:rRNA from 1 species
CCUACGUGUGGCAGCAGUGAGGAAUAUUGGUCAAUGGACGAGAGUCUGAACCAGCCAAGUAGCGUGAAGGAUGACUGCCCUAUGGGUUGUAAACUUCUUUUAUAUGGGAAUAAAACGUUCCACGUGUGGGAUUUUGUAUGUACCAUAUGAAUAAGGAUCGGCUAACUCCGUGCCAGCAGCCGCGGUAAUACGGAGGAUCCGAGCGUUAUCAGGAUUUAUUGGGUUUAAAGGGAGCGUAGGUGGAUUGUUAAGUCAGUGGUGAAAGUUUGCGGCUUAACCGUAAAAUUGCAGUUGAAACGGGCAGUCGUGAGUACGGUAGAGGUGGGCGGAAUGCGUGGUGUAGCGGUGAAAUGCUUAGAUAUCACGAAGAACUCCGAUUGCGAAGGCAGUUCACUGGACUGCAACUGACGCUGAGGCUCGAAAGUGUGGGUAUCAAACAGGAUUAGAUACCCUAGUAGUC